rnacentral:rRNA from 1 species
AGACCCGAAACCCGGUGAUCUAGCCAUGGGCAGGUUGAAGGUUGGGUAACACUAACUGGAGGACCGAACCGACUAAUGUUGAAAAAUUAGCGGAUGACCUGUGGCUGGGGGUGAAAGGCCAAUCAAACCGGGAGAUAGCUGGUUCUCCCCGAAAGCUAUUUAGGUAGCGCCUCGUGAACUCAUCUCCGGGGGUAGAGCACUGUUUCGGCUAGGGGGCCAUCCCGGCUUACCAACCCGAUGCAAACUGCGAAUACCGGAGAAUGUUAUCACGGGAGACACACGGCGGGUGCUAACGUCCGUCGUGAAGAGGGAAACAACCCAGACCGCCAGCUAAGGUCCCAAAGUCAUGGUUAAGUGGGAAACGAUGUGGGAAGGCCCAGACAGCCAGGAUGUUGGCUUAGAAGCAGCCAUCAUUUAAAGAAAGCGUAAUAGCUCACUGGUCGAGUCGGCCUGCGCGGAAGAUGUAACGGGGCUAAACCAUGCACCGAAGCUGCGGCAGCGACACUUUAGUGUUGUUGGGUAGGGGAGCGUUCUGUAAGCCGUUGAAGGUGUGUCGUGAGGCAUGCUGGAGGUAUCAGAAGUGCGAAUGCUGACAUAAGUAACGAUAAAGCGGGUGAAAAGCCCGCUCGCCGGAAGACCAAGGGUUCCUGUCCAACGUUAAUCGGGGCAGGGUGAGUCGACCCCUAAGGCGAGGCCGAAAGGCGUAGUCGAUGGGAAACGGGUUAAUAUUCCCGUACUUGGUGUUACUGCGAAGGGGGGACGGAGAAGGCUAUGUUGGCCGGGCGACGGUAGUCCCGGUUUAAGCGUGUAGGUGUGUGUUCCAGGCAAAUCCGGUUCACUUUAACACUGAGGCGUGAUGACGAGGCACCACGGUGCUGAAGCAACAAAUGCCCUGCUUCCAGGAAAAGCCUCUAAGCAUCAGGUAACAUCAAAUCGUACCCCAAACCGACACAGGUGGUCAGGUAGAGAAUACCAAGGCGCUUGAGAGAACUCGGGUGAAGGAACUAGGCAAAAUGGUGCCGUAACUUCGGGAGAAGGCACGCUGACACGUAGGUGAAGUGAUUUACUCAUGGAGCUGAAGUCAGUCGAAGAUACCAGCUGGCUGCAACUGUUUAUUAAAAACACAGCACUGUGCAAACACGAAAGUGGACGUAUACGGUGUGACGCCUGCCCGGUGCCGGAAGGUUAAUUGAUGGGGUCAGCGCAAGCGAAGCUCCUGAUCGAAGCCCCGGUAAACGGCGGCCGUAACUAUAACGGUCCUAAGGUAGCGAAAUUCCUUGUCGGGUAAGUUCCGACCUGCACGAAUGGCGUAAUGAUGGCCAGGCUGUCUCCACCCGAGACUCAGUGAAAUUGAACUCGCUGUGAAGAUGCAGUGUACCCGCGGCAAGACGGAAAGACCCCGUGAACCUUUACUAUAGCUUGACACUGAACAUUGAGCCUUGAUGUGUAGGAUAGGUGGGAGGCUUUGAAGCGUGGACGCCAGUCUGCGUGGAGCCGACCUUGAAAUACCACCCUUUAAUGUUUGAUGUUCUAACGUGGACCCGUAAUCCGGGUUGCGGACAGUGUCUGGUGGGUAGUUUGACUGGGGCGGUCUCCUCCUAAAGAGUAACGGAGGAGCACGAAGGUUGGCUAAUCCUGGUCGGACAUCAGGAGGUUAGUGCAAUGGCAUAAGCCAGCUUGACUGCGAGCGUGACGGCGCGAGCAGGUGCGAAAGCAGGUCAUAGUGAUCCGGUGGUUCUGAAUGGAAGGGCCAUCGCUCAACGGAUAAAAGGUACUCCGGGGAUAACAGGCUGAUACCGCCCAAGAGUUCAUAUCGACGGCGGUGUUUGGCACCUCGAUGUCGGCUCAUCACAUCCUGGGGCUGAAGUAGGUCCCAAGGGUAUGGCUGUUCGCCAUUUAAAGUGGUACGCGAGCUGGGUUUAGAACGUCGUGAGACAGUUCGGUCCCUAUCUGCCGUGGGCGCUGGAAGACUGAGGGGGGCUGCUCCUAGUACGAGAGGACCGGAGUGGACGCAUCACUGGUGUUCGGGUUGUCAUGCCAAUGGCACUGCCCGGUAGCUAAAUGCGGAAAAGAUAAGUGCUGAAAGCAUCUAAGCACGAAACUUGCCC